AGUGAACGCUGGCGGUAGGCCUAACACAUGCAAGUCGAACGGCAGCACAGUAAGAGCUUGCUCUUACGGGUGGCGAGUGGCGGACGGGUGAGGAAUACAUCGGAAUCUACUUUUUCGUGGGGGAUAACGUAGGGAAACUUACGCUAAUACCGCAUACGACCUACGGGUGAAAGCAGGGGAUCUUCGGACCUUGCGCGAUUGAAUGAGCCGAUGUCGGAUUAGCUAGUUGGCGGGGUAAAGGCCCACCAAGGCGACGAUCCGUAGCUGGUCUGAGAGGAUGAUAGGCCACACUGGAACUGGGACACGGUCCAGACUCCUACGGGAGGCAGCAGUGUGGAUUAUUGGACAGAGGGCGCAAGCCUUAUCCAGCCAUACCGCGUGGGUGAAGAAGGCCUUCGGGUUGUAAAGCCCUUUUGUUGGGAAAGAAAAGCAGCAGGUUAAUACCCCGCUGUUCUGACGGUACCCAAAGAAUAAGCACCGGCUAACUUCGUG
rnacentral:rRNA from 1 species